rnacentral:rRNA from 1 species
GGGUUGUGAGGUUAAGCGACUAAGCGUACACGGUGGAUGCCCUGGCAGUCAGAGGCGAUGAAGGACGUGCUAAUCUGCGAAAAGCGUCGGUAAGGUGAUAUGAACCGUUACAGCCGGCGAUGUCCGAAUGGGGAAACCCAGUGUGAUUCGUCACACUAUCGUUAACUGAAUACAUAGGUUAACGAGGCGAACCGGGGGAACUGAAACAUCUAAGUACCCCGAGGAAAAGAAAUCAACCGAGAUUCCCCCAGUAGCGGCGAGCGAACGGGGAGCAGCCCAGAGUCUGAAUCAGCUUGUGUGUUAGUGGAACGGUCUGGAAAGUCCGACGGUACAGGGUGAUAGUCCCGUACACCAAAAUGCACAGGCUGUGAACUCGAAGAGUAGGGCGGGACACGUGGUAUCCUGUCUGAAUAUGGGGGGACCAUCCUCCAAGGCUAAAUACUCCUGACUGACCGAUAGUGAACCAGUACCGUGAGGGAAAGGCGAAAAGAACCCCGGCGAGGGGAGUGAAAAAGAACCUGAAACCGUGUACGUACAAGCAGUGGGAGCACCUUCGGGUGUGACUGCGUACCUUUUGUAUAAUGGGUCAGCGACUUAUAUUCUGUAGCAAGGUUAACCGUAUAGGGGAGCCGCAGGGAAACCGAGUCUUAACUGGGCGUUAAGUUGCAGGGUAUAGACCCGAAACCCGGUGAUCUAGCCAUGGGCAGGUUGAAGGUUGGGUAACACUAACUGGAGGACCGAACCGACUAAUGUUGAAAAAUUAGCGGAUGACUUGUGGCUGGGGGUGAAAGGCCAAUCAAACCGGGAGAUAGCUGGUUCUCCCCGAAAGCUAUUUAGGUAGCGCCUCGUGAAUUCAUCUUCGGGGGUAGAGCACUGUUUCGGCUAGGGGGUCAUCCCGACUUACCAACCCGAUGCAAACUACGAAUACCGAAGAAUGUUAUCACGGGAGACACACGGCGGGUGCUAACGUCCGUCGUGAAGAGGGAAACAACCCAGACCGCCAGCUAAGGUCCCAAAGUCAUGGUUAAGUGGGAAACGAUGUGGGAAGGCACAGACAGCCAGGAUGUUGGCUUAGAAGCAGCCAUCAUUUAAAGAAAGCGUAAUAGCUCACUGGUCGAGUCGGCCUGCGCGGAAGAUGUAACGGGGCUAAACCAUGCACCGAAGCUGCGGCAGCGACACUAUGUGUUGUUGGGUAGGGGAGCGUUCUGUAAGCCUGCGAAGGUGUGCUGUGAGGCAUGCUGGAGGUAUCAGAAGUGCGAAUGCUGACAUAAGUAACGAUAAAGCGGGUGAAAAGCCCGCUCGCCGGAAGACCAAGGGUUCCUGUCCAACGUUAAUCGGGGCAGGGUGAGUCGACCCCUAAGGCGAGGCCGAAAGGCGUAGUCGAUGGGAAACAGGUUAAUAUUCCUGUACUUGGUGUUACUGCGAAGGGGGGACGGAGAAGGCUAUGUUAGCCGGGCGACGGUUGUCCCGGUUUAAGCAUGUAGGCUGAUUAUCCAGGCAAAUCCGGAUAAUCAAGGCUGAGGUGUGAUGACGAGGCACUACGGUGCUGAAGUAACAAAUGCCCUGCUUCCAGGAAAAGCCUCUAAGCAUCAGGUAACAUCAAAUCGUACCCCAAACCGACACAGGUGGUCAGGUAGAGAAUACCAAGGCGCUUGAGAGAACUCGGGUGAAGGAACUAGGCAAAAUGGUGCCGUAACUUCGGGAGAAGGCACGCUGGUGUGUAGGUGAAGUCCCUGCGGAUGGAGCUGAGACCAGUCGAAGAUACCAGCUGGCUGCAACUGUUUAUUAAAAACACAGCACUGUGCAAACACGAAAGUGGACGUAUACGGUGUGACGCCUGCCCGGUGCCGGAAGGUUAAUUGAUGGGGUUAUCCGUAAGGAGAAGCUCUUGAUCGAAGCCCCGGUAAACGGCGGCCGUAACUAUAACGGUCCUAAGGUAGCGAAAUUCCUUGUCGGGUAAGUUCCGACCUGCACGAAUGGCGUAAUGAUGGCCAGGCUGUCUCCACCCGAGACUCAGUGAAAUUGAACUCGCUGUGAAGAUGCAGUGUACCCGCGGCAAGACGGAAAGACCCCGUGAACCUUUACUAUAGCUUGACACUGAACAUUGAGCCUUGAUGUGUAGGAUAGGUGGGAGGCUUUGAAGCGUGGACGCCAGUCUGCGUGGAGCCAACCUUGAAAUACCACCCUUUAAUGUUUGAUGUUCUAACGUUGGCCCCUUACCGGGGUUGCGGACAGUGUCUGGUGGGUAGUUUGACUGGGGCGGUCUCCUCCCAAAGCGUAACGGAGGAGCACGAAGGUUAGCUAAUCCUGGUCGGACAUCAGGAGGUUAGUGCAAUGGCAUAAGCUAGCUUGACUGCGAGCGUGACGGCGCGAGCAGGUGCGAAAGCAGGUCAUAGUGAUCCGGUGGUUCUGAAUGGAAGGGCCAUCGCUCAACGGAUAAAAGGUACUCCGGGGAUAACAGGCUGAUACCGCCCAAGAGUUCAUAUCGACGGCGGUGUUUGGCACCUCGAUGUCGGCUCAUCACAUCCCCGGGGCUGAAGUAGGUCCCAAGGGUAUGGCUGUUCGCCAUUUAAAGUGGUACGCGAGCUGGGUUUAGAACGUCGUGAGACAGUUCGGUCCCCUAUCUGCCGUGGGCGCUGGAGAAUUGAGGGGGGCUGCUCCUAGUACGAGAGGACCGGAGUGGACGCAUCACUGGUGUUCGGGUUGUCAUGCCAAUGGCACUGCCCGGUAGCUAAAUGCGGAAGAGAUAAGUGCUGAAAGCAUCUAAGCACGAAACUUGCCCCGAGAUGAGUUCUCCCUGAGACUUUAAGUCUCCUGAAGGAACGUUAAAGACGAUGACGUUGAUAGGCCGGGUGUGUAAGCGCAGCGAUGCGUUGAGCUAACCGGUACUAAUGAACCGUGAGGCUUAACCUUACAACGCCGAAG